GCUGGCGGCAGGCCUAACACAUGCAAGUCGAGCGCGUGUAGCAAUACACGAGCGGCAGACGGGAGAGUAACACGUGGGAACGUACCCUUCGGUUCGGAAUAACCCAGGGAAACUUGGACUAAUACCGGAUACGUCCGAAAGGAGAAAGAUUUAUCGCCGAAGGAUCGGCCCGCGGCUGAUUAGCUAGUUGGUGAGGUAACGGCUCACCAAGGCGACGAUCGGUAGCUGGUCUGAGAGGAUGAUCAGCCUCACUGGGACUGAGACACGGCCCAGACUCCUACGGGAGGCAGCAGUGGGGAAUAUUGGACAAUGGGCGCAAGCCUGAUCCAGCCAUGCCGCGUGGGUGAUGAAGGCCCUAGGGUUGUAAAGCCCUUUCGGCGGGGAAGAUAAUGACGGUACCCGCAGAAGAAGCCCCGGCUAACUUCGUGCCAGCAGCCGCGGUAAUACGAAGGGGGCUAGCGUUGCUCGGAAUCACUGGGCGUAAAGCGCACGUAGGCGGAUCGUUAAGUCGGAGGUGAAAUCCUGGAGCUCAACUCCAGAACUGCCUUCGAUACUAGCGAUCUUGGA
rnacentral:rRNA from 1 species